UGGGGAAUAUUGGACAAUGGGGGCAACCCUGAUCCAGCCAUGCCGCGUGAGUGAUGAAGGCCCUAGGGUUGUAAAGCUCUUUUGUGCGGGAAGAUAAUGACGGUACCGCAAGAAUAAGCCCCGGCUAACUUCGUGCCAGCAGCCGCGGUAAUACGAAGGGGGCUAGCGUUGCUCGGAAUCACUGGGCGUAAAGGGUGCGUAGGCGGGUUUUUAAGUCAGGGGUGAAAUCCUGGAGCUCAACUCCAGAACUGCCUUUGAUACUGAAGAUCUUGAGUCCGGGAGAGGUGAGUGCAACUGCGAGUGUAGAUGUGAAGUUCGUAAAUAUUCGCGAGAUCCCCUUGGCGAAGGCGGCUCACUAGUGCGGUACGGAAGCUGGGCUAAG
rnacentral:rRNA from 1 species